UGGGGAAUCUUGGACAAUGGGGGCAACCCUGAUCCAGCCAUGCCGCGUGAGUGAUGAAGGCCUUAGGGUCGUAAAGCUCUUUCGCCUGUGAAGAUAAUGACGGUAGCAGGUAAAGAAACCCCGGCUAACUCCGUGCCAGCAGCCGCGGUAAUACGGAGGGGGUUAGCGUUGUUCGGAAUUACUGGGCGUAAAGCGCACGUAGGCGGACCAGAAAGUUGGGGGUGAAAUCCCGGGGGCUCAACCCCGGAACUGCCUCCAAAACUAUUGGUCUAGAGUUCGAGAGAGGUGAGUGGAAUUCCAAGUGUAGAGGUGAAAUUCGUAGAUAUUUGGAGGAACACCAGUGGCGAAGGCGGCUCACUGGCUCGAUACUGACGCUGAGGUGCGAAAGUGUGGGGAGCAAACAGGAUUAGAUACCCUGGGUAGUCCACACCGUAAAACGAUGAAUGCCAGUCGUCGGGUAGCAUGCUAUUCGGUG
rnacentral:rRNA from 1 species